UCGGACGCUUAACCGACCGAGCCACCCAGGCGCCCCUGUUUGUUGGUUUCUAAGACGACUGCAUUCAAACGCCCCUGGGCCCACACUUGGAUUUAUUUGGCUUCAUGCCAGACCCCAUGCUUGGUGCUUCCUGUGCUCACCCCCCAGGCCUUCUUAUAGUCCUGUGAUGUGAGACUGACAUUGCACCCAUUUUACAGGCCGAGCAACUGAGGGGUAGAACAACUGGGGCUAGUGAAUGGAGGGGCUGGUCCUGAACCAAGUCGGGCUGACUCCUGUGUUGGCAUUUUGCCACAGUUUCACAGGUGCAGGUGCAGACCUGACGUGGGCGGCGGUGGGGGGUGGGAGGGGGUGGUUCCCUCUGGUCCCCUGCUUCUGAACAUUUGGCCUUAGUUCUACCUUUGUCUGGGCGUCCACGUCCCUUAACCUCGGUGCUUUCCUAUCCUCCACCCCGCCUUCCUGAGUCUCGGGGUCCGCUGGAGGUCAACACCUUGGCCUCGUACAAGGCGCAAGGCAAGGGGACGUGCUCUCCCGUCCCCAGGGCCUCACCCUGGGUGAAACAAUACCUCAGAGGGCCAGGGUGGCUUGAGGAGACGUGGUGUCGCCUUGGUUCCCCUCCACGUCCGCCCCAGAUCUGCUCCUGGCCCCGUUAACCGAAUUUAUUUUGGCUUAAGUGAGGCAGUGGCUGGAGACCGUAAAACACCUACCUUCUUGAAACCAUCAGGAGGCUCGAAUGGGGUUGUGAAGGGGACGCAGCCAUCUUCCACGGGCUGCUGGGCUCGGUCGUGGCUGGUGACACUGCUGGUGUGUCCACGUGUCCUUGGGCGGAUUCCCACGUUCAGGCUCUGACUUCUGAGGGAGAGGGGGGCAGGCCUGGGCUGCAUGGCGGGGGCAUGAGAAUGAAGGAAACGCCUUCUCUGUUUGCCUCGACUUCGUGGGUGGCCUCGAGCAACCGGGUGCUGAAUGAGUGCACGCACGGGUUGGGGGAGGGCACGCCCACAGAACGGGCGUAGUCACUAGGGUCGGGGUCCCUGUGCCCCCGCUUACUAGCUGUGGGGCCUUGGGAAAGUUGGCUAACUUCUCCACACCUCCAUUUUCUCAUCCAUCAAGCUGAGAUAACAGCUGGAUGAAUCUUACAAGGUCGGUGGGAGGAGCUCAUGAUGCAAUGCGUGGAAAAGCCUUCUGAAUGACGUCUGGCGCAGAGUACGUCCGUACGUGUUAGCUGACCCCAAAGUACCAGCUCAAAAUGAUCUGCUCCACUCACAUUUGCUUUCCCACUCAAAAUGCGUCAGGCAUGAAAGGCACAAAAUGGAGUGCCUUCAAGACUGUAUGGUGACAAGAGACAGGCGUGAGGUGUAAUUCUGGGCUCCACCGUUCACCCCUGUGUGAUCCUCUGAUUUUGCACGUAUUUGAGAGUCUUUCUGGGUCCCAGCUCCCCUUCAGCUGGUCCAUGUGUCCACGUGGCCCAAGGUGAGGACCUCAACUGCCUUCAGGAAUAACACCCAGCAGAACGUGGUGGUGAAACAGUCCUGGGAACAACUCUCCGGCUUCAGGGCCUCCCUGCAGCAGAGAGGUUCUGAAGGCAACUCCCUACUUAAGGUGGCUUAGUGGCAGCCUAGGGUCUCAGGGCAGAGGUGUCCCAAGAAGGCAUCACUAAUCAUACAGGCGCUCUCCUUCAUGCCACCGAUGCCAAAGUGCUUGCUCUCAUCCCCGUGGCACGACCAGCAGCUCUGAUGGAUCACAGGUGACAGACCGGUCAGCAGCUCCUCCCGGCUGAGUCUCUGGGGCUUUGCUCAGGGCCCCCGUGCCUGCGGCCCUGCCCUCCUGCCCUGGAGCAGACCCGCUCUUUCUGUCCUGCCCCCCCUGGUAAGUUGAGCGCCCCCUGGAGGUCGGGGCUGUGUGGCAACCCUCGCCUUUCUCCUCACAGCGGCUGCAGGGUUGGGGGGCGGCAGGUGUCACUUGUUUUGCACAAGGUUGUUGAUUCCAGGGGUCAAGGACCAUCAUCAUGGCGUGCUAGAAAAGUAAAUAUUCUCAGCUUGGGGGAAGGUUAUAUUAAUUAAAAAUAACAUUAUUAUUACUAUAUUGAAUGUCUGUUCUGUUCCGGGCCCAUCUGUUAUUUCAUUAAAUCUUUCCCCAUAAUCCUAUCAGGUGAGUUUUUCAUAGCCCGUGUUCCAGGUGGGGAGGUGGAGGCGUCGAAAGGCCAGACCCGGGGUCCACAGCUGCACGACGUGGUUUACGGGCUCAACCAAGGUCAAUCCAAAGAGUGGGGACUAUCGUUAUUCCCAUUCACAGGUGAGAACACCACGGCUCAGCGAGGCUAAUUUACUCGUUUCCCCCAAGGUUUCAUGGUUAAGAGAGGAGGUGCCCGGAUUCAAAUUGCAGUCACUCUUUACAGCCUGUGCCGUCCCUCACUGGGCACCCGGCAAUGCCUCCUUCUACCGCGUGGCAAGCACAGUGAGGACCAGGUGUGACAGGGUGAUGGCGACGGCCUAGAUUAGAUCAAGAUCAGAGUCCUGGCACUAGCACUGAUUGUCAGCGUGACCUCAGUUUAAGCAAGAUCUGUGACUUUGCCGUCUCUCUACCCUGCCGGCAGAGUGAAGACAGGAGCGCCUGCCUGAUGGGGUUCUCCUGGCAAGGACUGAAUUAGUGACGCAUGUUAAAGAACCUUUCCAGGAUUCCUUUCCUAGGAGCUUCUCUUGCUUCACUGGCCGGAACACAGUCGUGUGGCCACACCAGGCUGCGGGACAGGACGGGAAGCAGGUUCUGUAACUGGGCGCAUCACUGCCUCAAGACCGUGGACGCUUGUGAGUGAGGCAGAAUGGGUGCCGGGGAACCAGACUCUGCCACAGCGCAACUGGGUCACCUCGCCCACUUGCCAAAGGGCGGAUGGCGGAGAGAGGUGGCGUUUUGAGUGAGAGAAAACUCAAGCCACCUUUGGCGAGAAUCUUAGAUGUCGCUCUGAGAUAACUGGAAAUGCCACAGACCUAGGGCUGCAACCCCUGUGCUUUCUGGGGCUGUUUGUUCUGGGGACGGCCACCGUGAUGGAAUCAACGGUACUUCGCACCUGUCACCGCCUUGUCCCACACGGUCCCUUUUCAGAGCGUGGAUAAGUUGUAUUUCUCUGGAUGUCUGCUCCUCGUGACACAUUCAUCCUGUGGGUCUCCCGAGGUGGAUUGGAGGAAUGGGUUUCUUGGUCUGCAGGCUGCUGACGAUCAGCGGGCUCUGGAAACGAACACAGAUGUCACUGUGCCAGCUCUGUCUAUGCACCAGGCACUAUACACGUGGCAGGUCCCACCAUCCUGACAACAGACCUACAGCCAGGGGGACUCUGAUCCCGUUUUGCAGAUGCAACGUGAAGGCUCAGAGAGGCUAAGCGGCUUGCCCGAGAUCACACAGCUGGUGCUAUGGACUGAGUGUUUAUGUCCCCCCGACCGCCCAACGCCGGCCCAAAUGUAUAUGCUGCAGCCCUAA